GGGGGCGAAAUGGCUUCGACGGGGAUAAAGAAGCUUUGGCUGCAUACCGAGCUUCCUACCAGCUCGUAAAACCGGUGGGAACCUAAAAUAAUCGCAGACGAUUAUGAAUACGCUUUAGCCGCUUAAGGCUAACGCUCUGCCGGAUUUUCCCUGCAAAUCCUGCGAGAGCGUCGCUAGCAGGGUAACCGGCUCUCAUUUCCUGAUACCGGGUCGGUGAAAUUUUUUCAGGAUAGCCUUUCAAAUAUCCCGCCUGAAGGAGACUUGAAUGGGCGAAUUUCAAAGUUCAGGAUAAGUAUGUAGAUGCCUGAGUGGAAUGUUUCCGGACGCGGGUUCGACUCCCGCCGCCUCCACCA
rnacentral:tmRNA from 1 species